rnacentral:tRNA from 1 species
GCACCAUAUCAGCUGGAUAGAGUACUCGGCUACGAACCGAGCGGUCACAGGUUCGAAUCCUGUCGAGUGCACCA